UACAUGAUGACCUUGGACAAGGUCUCAAAGUUCGAUGGCCGGAAGCACAGGUUCUACCUGAUGUCAGCCCCAACCAGACGGGAAAAUUAUGAAUUUCGUCAGUACAAUAAGAAGCCUGACUUGUUGGGCAGGAAGUGCACUCUUCCCCAGAUCCCAGUGGAAGACUUUGACAAAAUAAUCGAGGCAGACUUUUUCGGCCUCACAGACGCAACUCUGUCAACCGGGGAAACAAUAAAAGUCCCUAAGAAUUGGAUUCCCAAGAGCGCCUGGUUCAGGGAUGAAUGUUUCCAAGCCGCCUGCGGGCUAGGGCACAUGUUUAAUAAACGUAUGUGCCAGAGCUCACACCGUCUGCAGUAUUUUUCUAUCGAAAUUUAUUUAUGAUAUUGACUAAUUUCUCUCUUUUUGCAGAAGAAGCACUAAUCAUGUUGCAGUCGGAGAAAACUCCCAAGCGGUCUUCUGCGACCAUCCGCAAAGAUCUUACGGAGAAAUCCGCGGCCGAGCUCAAGGCCAAGGGGGGAGAAGUUGGGAAAUCGUUUGAGAAAAAUCUCAAACGGGCUAGAGAGGAGGCCCCAGCCGUUCUCAACAAAAUAAAAAAGUCCGCCUCUGCGUCAACUCCUGGCGCCUCAACCGGGGCUAAGACGAUACGAGUGUCGGGGCGACUCGAGAAGGUAGGCGGCAUCAUGUGCCUUGAUCUUGCCAAUCCUUUAUCAGCAGCCGCGGGGUUCACCACGCCUGCAAGCAGUUCCCGCUUGGCCGGCUCUGAAGAUCAAUCUCCCCGCUGGCCAGACGUCCAGAACCACGCC